CUACGGGGUGCUGCAGUGAGGAAUAUUGCACAAUGGAGGAAACUCUGAUGCAGCAACGCCGCGUGGAGGAUGACGCAUUUCGGUGUGUAAACUCCUUUUAUGAGUCAAGAAAAUGACGGUAGCUCAUGAAUAAGCACCGGCUAACUCCGUGCCAGCAGGCCGCGGUAAUACGGAGGGUGCAAGCGUUACUCGGAAUCACUGGGCGUAAAGGACGCGUAGGCGGGAUAUCAAGUCAGGUGUGAAAUCCUACAGCUUAACUGUAGAACUGCACUUGAAACUGGUAACCUAGAGUAUGGGAGGGGGAGAUGGAAUUAGUGGUGUAGGGGUAAAAUCCGUAGAUAUCACUAGGAAUACCUAAAGCGAAGGCGAUCUCCUGGAACAUAACUGACGCUAAGGCGUGAAAGCGUGGGGAGCAAACAGGAUUAGAUACCCCGGUAGUC
rnacentral:rRNA from 1 species